rnacentral:lncRNA from 10 species
GCAAAUAUUUAUCUGGGUCUACUACAUGCCAGAUACCAUUCUAGAUACUGAAAAUACAGCAGGGAACACAGGAGAAAGAAAUUCCUGCCCUCAUAGACUUACUUCUAGUAGAGGAGACAGAUAAGGAACAUAUAAACAUAUGUCUAAGACGGGAAGUACCGGAGACCUCAUCUGCAUGCAGAUUGGCCAGGGGAGACCUCCCUGAAUAGAGAUCUGAAAGCAAGAGGCAGGGCACUGUGCAGAUAUGAUGGGGGGAGUUUCAAAGGGAGAGGGAACAGACAGUGCGAAGGCUCUGAGGCCAGCAGUGGUGGGAGAACAGGUCAGCCCCCGAGGGUCUCGUAGGCAGGGAAGGGCUUGGCUGUUACUCCAAGUGAGGUGGGGCCUGAGGGUGAACAUGGCCUCACUUCCAGGCCAGGUGCCAGUUGGGAAUAGACUGCAGGGGGCCAGGGCUGAAGUAGUGAUGGGGCCAGGAGGCCACUGCACGUGCCUUAACAAGAGAUCUUGGACCAGGUGGUCUAGGCGAGGUGGUGAGAAGGCGUGGGACUCUGGUGUAUGUUGAAGGUGGUCACUGGCUUUCCUGACGGAUUGGAUGUGGGGUGAGAAAAAGGAGUGAACGAUGACACCAAGCUUUUUGGCUUCCUGAACAGAAGGAUGAGGGUCCCAGAAGAAGAGUCAGUGGAGGAAGGGGUUUGAGCCAAGAGCUUCAUGUGAACUUGCUGGGCUGGAGGCAUCCAUUAGACAUCGAGUGGAGAGGUGAGG